GGGUUGUGAGGUUAAGCGACUAAGCGUACACGGUGGAUGCCCUGGCAGUCAGAGGCGAUGAAGGACGUGCUAAUCUGCGAUAAGCGUCGGUAAGGUGAUAUGAACCGUUAUAACCGGCGAUUUCCGAAUGGGGAAACCCAGUGUGUUUCGACACACUAUCAUUAACUGAAUCCAUAGGUUAAUGAGGCGAACCGGGGGAACUGAAACAUCUAAGUACCCCGAGGAAAAGAAAUCAACCGAGAUUCCCCCAGUAGCGGCGAGCGAACGGGGAGCAGCCCAGAGCCUGAAUCAGUGUGUGUGUUAGUGGAAGCGUCUGGAAAGGCGCGCGAUACAGGGUGACAGCCCCGUACACAAAAAUGCACAUGCUGUGAGCUCGAUGAGUAGGGCGGGACACGUGGUAUCCUGUCUGAAUAUGGGGGGACCAUCCUCCAAGGCUAAAUACUCCUGACUGACCGAUAGUGAACCAGUACCGUGAGGGAAAGGCGAAAAGAACCCCGGCGAGGGGAGUGAAAAAGAACCUGAAACCGUGUACGUACAAGCAGUGGGAGCACGCUUAGGCGUGUGACUGCGUACCUUUUGUAUAAUGGGUCAGCGACUUAUAUUCUGUAGCAAGGUUAACCGAAUAGGGGAGCCGAAGGGAAACCGAGUCUUAACUGGGCGUUAAGUUGCAGGGUAUAGACCCGAAACCCGGUGAUCUAGCCAUGGGCAGGUUGAAGGUUGGGUAACACUAACUGGAGGACCGAACCGACUAAUGUUGAAAAAUUAGCGGAUGACUUGUGGCUGGGGGUGAAAGGCCAAUCAAACCGGGAGAUAGCUGGUUCUCCCCGAAAGCUAUUUAGGUAGCGCCUCGUGAAUUCAUCUCCGGGGGUAGAGCACUGUUUCGGCAAGGGGGUCAUCCCGACUUACCAACCCGAUGCAAACUGCGAAUACCGGAGAAUGUUAUCACGGGAGACACACGGCGGGUGCUAACGUCCGUCGUGAAGAGGGAAACAACCCAGACCGCCAGCUAAGGUCCCAAAGUCAUGGUUAAGUGGGAAACGAUGUGGGAAGGCCCAGACAGCCAGGAUGUUGGCUUAGAAGCAGCCAUCAUUUAAAGAAAGCGUAAUAGCUCACUGGUCGAGUCGGCCUGCGCGGAAGAUGUAACGGGGCUAAACCAUGCACCGAAGCUGCGGCAGCGACACUAUGUGUUGUUGGGUAGGGGAGCGUUCUGUAAGCCUGUGAAGGUGUACUGUGAGGUAUGCUGGAGGUAUCAGAAGUGCGAAUGCUGACAUAAGUAACGAUAAAGCGGGUGAAAAGCCCGCUCGCCGGAAGACCAAGGGUUCCUGUCCAACGUUAAUCGGGGCAGGGUGAGUCGACCCCUAAGGCGAGGCCGAAAGGCGUAGUCGAUGGGAAACAGGUUAAUAUUCCUGUACUUGGUGUUACUGCGAAGGGGGGACGGAGAAGGCUAUGUUGGCCGGGCGACGGUUGUCCCGGUUUAAGCGUGUAGGCUGGUUUUCCAGGCAAAUCCGGAAAAUCAAGGCUGAGGCGUGAUGACGAGGCACUACGGUGCUGAAGCAACAAAUGCCCUGCUUCCAGGAAAAGCCUCUAAGCAUCAGGUAACAUCAAAUCGUACCCCAAACCGACACAGGUGGUCAGGUAGAGAAUACCAAGGCGCUUGAGAGAACUCGGGUGAAGGAACUAGGCAAAAUGGUGCCGUAACUUCGGGAGAAGGCACGCUGAUAUGUAGGUGAAGUCCCUCGCGGAUGGAGCUGAAAUCAGUCGAAGAUACCAGCUGGCUGCAACUGUUUAUUAAAAACACAGCACUGUGCAAACACGAAAGUGGACGUAUACGGUGUGACGCCUGCCCGGUGCCGGAAGGUUAAUUGAUGGGGUUAGCCGCAAGGCGAAGCUCUUGAUCGAAGCCCCGGUAAACGGCGGCCGUAACUAUAACGGUCCUAAGGUAGCGAAAUUCCUUGUCGGGUAAGUUCCGACCUGCACGAAUGGCGUAAUGAUGGCCAGGCUGUCUCCACCCGAGACUCAGUGAAAUUGAACUCGCUGUGAAGAUGCAGUGUACCCGCGGCAAGACGGAAAGACCCCGUGAACCUUUACUAUAGCUUGACACUGAACAUUGAGCCUUGAUGUGUAGGAUAGGUGGGAGGCUUUGAAGUGUGGACGCCAGUCUGCAUGGAGCCGACCUUGAAAUACCACCCUUUAAUGUUUGAUGUUCUAACGUGGACCCGUGAUCCGGGUUGCGGACAGUGUCUGGUGGGUAGUUUGACUGGGGCGGUCUCCUCCUAAAGAGUAACGGAGGAGCACGAAGGUUGGCUAAUCCUGGUCGGACAUCAGGAGGUUAGUGCAAUGGCAUAAGCCAGCUUGACUGCGAGCGUGACGGCGCGAGCAGGUGCGAAAGCAGGUCAUAGUGAUCCGGUGGUUCUGAAUGGAAGGGCCAUCGCUCAACGGAUAAAAGGUACUCCGGGGAUAACAGGCUGAUACCGCCCAAGAGUUCAUAUCGACGGCGGUGUUUGGCACCUCGAUGUCGGCUCAUCACAUCCUGGGGCUGAAGUAGGUCCCAAGGGUAUGGCUGUUCGCCAUUUAAAGUGGUACGCGAGCUGGGUUUAGAACGUCGUGAGACAGUUCGGUCCCUAUCUGCCGUGGGCGCUGGAGAACUGAGGGGGGCUGCUCCUAGUACGAGAGGACCGGAGUGGACGCAUCACUGGUGUUCGGGUUGUCAUGCCAAUGGCACUGCCCGGUAGCUAAAUGCGGAAGAGAUAAGUGCUGAAAGCAUCUAAGCACGAAACUUGCCCCGAGAUGAGUUCUCCCUGAC
rnacentral:rRNA from 1 species